rnacentral:rRNA from 1 species
AUACGUAGGGGGCGAGCGUUGUCCGGAAUUACUGGGCGUAAAGGGUGCGUAGGUGGCACUUUAAGUUGGAUGUGAAAUCCCCGUGCUUAACAUGGGAGCUGCAUCCAAUACUGGAGAGCUAGAGUGCAGGAGAGGUAAGCGGAAUUCCUAGUGUAGCGGUGAAAUGCGUAGAUAUUAGGAGGAACACCAGUGGCGAAGGCGGCUUACUGGACUGUAACUGACACUGAGGCACGAAAGCGUGGGGAGCAAACAGGAUUAGAUACCCUGGUAGUCCACGCUGUAAACGAUGAAUACUAGGUGUAUGGGGUAUCAACUCCCUCUGUGCCGCAGCAAACGCAAUAAGUAUUCCGCCUGGGGAGUACGGCCGCAAGGUUGAAACUCAAAUGAAUUGACGGGG